UCAGCGGCGGACGGGUGAGGAAUGCCUAAGAAUCUGCCUGGUAGUGGGGGAUAACGUCCGGAAACGGGCGCUAAUACCGCAUACGUCCUGAGGGAGAAAGUGGGGGGUCUUCGGACCUCACGCUAUCAGAUGAGCCUAGGUCGGAUUAGCUAGUUGGUGGGGUAAAGGCCUACCAAGGCGACGAUCCGUAACUGGUCUGAGAGGAUGAUCAGUCACACUGGAACUGAGACACGGUCCAGACUCCUACGGGAGGCAGCAGUGGGGAAUAUUGGACAAUGGGCGAAAGCCUGAUCCAGCCAUGCCGCGUGUGUGAAGAAGGUCUUCGGAUUGUAAAGCACUUUAAGUUGGGAGGAAGGGCAGUAAGUUAAUACCUUGCUGUUUUGACGUUACCAACAGAAUAAGCACCGGCUAACUUCGUGCCAGCAGCCGCGGUAAUACGAAGGGUGCAAGCGUUAAUCGGAAUUACUGGGCGUAAAGCGCGCGUAGGUGGUUCAGCAAGUUGGAUGUGAAAUCCCCGGGCUCAACCUGGGAACUGCAUCCAAAACUACUGAGCUAGAGUACGGUAGAGGGUGGUGGAAUUUCCUGUGUAGCGGUGAAAUGCGUAGAUAUAGGAAGGAACACCAGUGGCGAAGGCGACCACCUGGACUGAUACUGACACUGAGGUGCGAAAGCGUGGGGAGCAAACAGG
rnacentral:rRNA from 1 species